GCAGAUGUAGUAUAGCGGUUAUUAUUCUGGUUUUCCAAACCAGAGACACGGGUUCGAGUCCCGUCAUCUGCU
rnacentral:tRNA from 1 species